rnacentral:rRNA from 1 species
GACGACGCUGCGCGUGCCUAUACAUGCAAGUCGAGCGGACCGAUGGGAGCUUGCUCUAUUAGGUUAGCCGGCGGACGGGUGAGUAACACGUGGGCAACCUGCCCUGCAGACUGGGAUAACUUCGGGAAACCGGAGCUAAUACCGGAUAACACCGAAAACCGCAUGGUUUUCGGUUGAAAGGCGGCUAUUAGCUGUCACUGCAGGAUGGGCCCGCGGCGCAUUAGCUAGUUGGUGAGGUAACGGCUCACCAAGGCGACGAUGCGUAGCCGACCUGAGAGGGUGACCGGCCACACUGGGACUGAGACACGGCCCAGACUCCUACGGGAGGCAGCAGUAGGGAAUCUUCCGCAAUGGACGAAAGUCUGACGGAGCAACGCCGCGUGAGCGAAGAAGGUCUUCGGAUCGUAAAGCUCUGUUGUCAGGGAAGAACAAGUACCGUUCGAACAGGGCGGUACCUUGACGGUACCUGACGAGGAAGCCACGGCUAACUACGUGCCAGCAGCCGCGGUAAUACGUAGGUGGCAAGCGUUGUCCGGAAUUAUUGGGCGUAAAAGCGCGCGCAGGCGGUUCCUUAAGUCUGAUGUGAAAUCUCGCGGCUCAACCGCGAGCGGCCAUUGGAAACUGGGGAACUUGAGUGCAGGAGAGGGGAGCGGAAUUCCACGUGUAGCGGUGAAAUGCGUAGAGAUGUGGAGGAAUACCAGUGCGAAGGCGGCUCUCUGGCCAGUAACCUGACGCUGAG